rnacentral:rRNA from 1 species
UACGGAGGGUGCGAGCGUUGUCCGGAAUCAUUGGGCGUAAAGGGCGCGUAGGUGGCCCGGUCAGUCAGUGGUGAAAGCGCGGGGCUCAACUCCGCGUCGGCCAUUGAUACUGCUGGGCUUGAGCACUGUAGAGGCAGGCGGAAUUCCGGGUGUAGCGGUGGAAUGCGUAGAGAUCCGGAAGAACACCGGUGGCGAAGGCGGAUCUCUGGGCCUGAUCUGACGCUGAGGCGCGAAAGCUAGGGGAGCGAACAGG